GCCGGCGGCUAUAAUACGUUCAAUGUACCAGUUCCCGGUGGAUCACUGUAGUUAAGCAACGUUGUGCGUGGUUGAUACCUGGAUGGGUGUCAUCUGGGCAACCUCGUACAGUUGCCUUUU
rnacentral:rRNA from 1 species